AAUAGAGGUAGCUUUUUAUUUUGCAGAUACCUGCAUUUAUGCUAUAUUGAUAUAAAGUAAAAUUAUUUAAAGUGAGAAAAAGAACACUGCUCUGAGAGUCAAAAGGUAUUUAAAAGAGAAAGCUUUACACCAGACUCACUUACAAAUUUAGAUGCUUAAAGAAAAUAUUACUAAAGAGAAAUCAUUGAAACAGUGUACACUGUAACCAAGUGAGAUUUAUUCUAGGAUUGUAAGAAUAUUUCCAUUCUUUUUAAUGCACUAUACUUUAUCAUAUUAAUAGGUCAAAUGAGAAAAAUCAAAAUUGUUUUAAUAGAUGCCAGUAAGACACUUGCUAAAAUUUAAAAUCCACUCCUGAUUAAAAACAAAAAAAAACAAUAAAAGCCCUUGACAAAGUACAAGUGGAAGAAUAUUUCACAUGUACAUGUAUAUGUUCACUUAUAUUUAUAUAUUCUGUAUAUUUAGCAUCAUGAUUCUAAAAGUAAAGCAUUUUUGACUUCCACUUCAGCAGUUUGGUGGAUUAGCCUACUCCAUUCCCUCCAUAAAACUGAUGGCCACUGCUGCUGAAUCCUCGCACCAAGAGUCUGCCACUUCCUUGAGUGCCAGCUUCCUUCUGCCUUCACCCCACUUGGAUUCACCAAAAGUUAGAGACUGGAACUCAGGAAAGAACUAUAGAUCUCCCAUCAGUGGAGCCACACUUCCAAGAAUAGGCUUUGACCUUUCUUUAAAAGAUUGGCACGUGAGUGUACAUUUAUAUAUUUUAAACUUAAAAAAUGUUUAAGGGGAUAAUGUUCAACUUUUUUUCAUGUCCCACUUUAAUCUACUUUUUCAGACAACUGACUAUACAGUGCCUCCAUUUGUACCAGAUAGAAUAUUGAGAACUUUCAUGUUUUAUUAGAAAGGAGGUGAACUUAGGGCACAUGUGAGUCUUGAAAAACUCAAGAAAAGCAACUGGGAAAAGACACACAGGUGCUUCUUAGUUCGUCACAUUUGUUAUGUAUUUGCAGUUGUGCCUGAUGAGAUGCUUAUCCUGUGGUCCAGGAUAGGAGGCCAUGAUGGCUGGUCACCAGUGAGGAGCACGAGCGGGUUUCCUUUUAAGGUGUGCUUUUGCUAGAACAUGAGCCACUGUGGGUUUAGUUGCAACAAGAUGACAAUACCUUUAAUAAAAGUUCAGCAAGGUGGUCAGGUAUAAAAUAAAUACGCAAAAGCCAGUGGUUGUCAUUAACAGCAACUUGUUAUAGAAUACCUUUUUUAAAAGAUAGCCCUGUUCAUAAAGACAUACAUUACCAAGAAAUGUUUGGGACCUCUAUGAAGAAAACACUAAAUGAAAAUUAUAUGGGUAAUUAAGGAAGACUGGAGUACAUGAUGGGAGACAUUCUGUUUCCUUGGAUAAAGAGACAUUGUACAUCAAAUUCUCCCCCAAAUUAAUCUGUGAAUUUAACAUCCAGAACAAAGUAUCUCUAUAUUUUGUUUGCUGUGUAUACGUUUCAUUUUUAGUCUGGUAUUUUGAAAGAAAAAAAUACGAGAAUAACUGGGAAAUUUUGUAGAAAAACAGUGGAAGGGACUUGUAGUGCUGAAUAUUACAGAGUCCAACAGAACUCUAGUAACUAAAACAGUGUAUAACUGGUGCAGAGAUCCGAUCAGUGAAAGAAUUGGGAGUCCAAAACCACUCUAGUUUCAGGAAGAAGUGAUGGGUUAUUCAGUAAGUGGUGCUGGAACAGCUGGUCACGCAGCGGGAGAGGCAGUACAGCACACCAGUGACGUGCAGACUGACGAUACACUGCCUCCGUUCAAGUCCCAGCUUGCCAGUACUUUGUACCUGUGAUCUUGGACAAAUUACGUAACCUCGCUGUGCCUUGCCUCCUUCAUCUAGUCUCCCUAUAGCAUUAUUGCAAGGAUUAGAUAGAUUAAAAUCUGUAGAAGUCUCAGAGCAGGACUGUCAUGUAGAAUGUACCUAUUAAAUAUUGGCUAGUCGAUCAUUUAGAGGGAAAAAAAGGUCUAAUCCCUAUCUUUUACCCCAUACACUCUCAUAGUUAGUAAAUUGAAGUGGAUUAAAGAUCUUUUUAAAAACUUAAAAAAAAAAAAAAAGCUUGGUUUGGUCAUCAAAGCCAGAAAACAUAAAGCAUUGAUCAAUUUGUCUAUAAAAGGGUAAUGUUGGAAAAGUGCAAACAGCUAGGAAGGUACAUUUGCGAUGCAUAUUCCAGAGAGAUUCCAGAGAUCCUUAGCUUUUUAAAAGACAUUGUUUUUAAAAAACAAAUACACAGCAUGACAAAUACUGCUGGUGUCCACUCAGAUCCUUUUACCAGUCCGGUGAACCCCUCCCCCAGCUGCUGCAGCUAUUGGGUACUAAUGGUUUAUCGUCACCCUCCCCCAGAGGAUUGUCCUGGGCUGAUUGAUGGCAGCUUACCCAGAGAUGCCUGGGAAGUUUUACCUGGAUCCCUGGAGUUUAGCCCAUGGCAAAUGCCUGAUGCAGGGUAUUAUUGCCCACCUUCUGGCCUCUGUGGUGCAGUUUAUGCUCCUGAGCGCCCCAUGGGAUUAGGUUUAGGUGAGACUUCUCCCAAAACCACGUUUCUGUCUCUUUUCUUCUCCUGCUCUGUCCUGUUUCCCUAAGUCCCUUAUAGAGCUCUCUCAAGAAAUCACUUGCGCAAGAAUCCUCAUUUCAAGUGCCGCUUCCAGGGAACCUGACUUAAUAGAAAAUUGAGCAAAGAAGGUUGACCCAGAAAAAUGCUCAGUAAACCUGAAGAUGCUGAACUUUUUUAGUAAUCAGGGAGAAAUCGUCAAAAAUACAUCUCUUUUGCUGAUUGGGUUGAAAAAAAAAGAUUUAUAAAGAUUGUGGGGAAAGGCAGUAACAUAUUGUGGAAGGGAUAAUUUGAUACCAACCUCAUAGAUAUUUCUAUAAAUGUAUUUCUUGAAAUAACUGGGUAGGUGUAAAGGAUGCAUGGAUAAGGAUAGUCAUUGCAACAAUAUUCAAAAUGGGGAAAUGGAAGCAACCUGAAUGCCCAGUAAUGAUUGAAUUGGUUAAAUGAUCCAUUGUACAUUGAAACAUAAGACGACCAUUUAUAAAGAUGUCUGGAAUAAGUUGUUCACUGGAAUACAAAGUCAUAAAAUUAAAUGUACAGUGCUUGUAUGUAAUGUGCACAGAAAUCAUCGAAGUGCCAUGAAAUUAGGAUGAUU